rnacentral:rRNA from 1 species
AUGAACAUUGCCCUCCUGACCCGUUGGCUAUGGCGUAUCGCCAACGGGGAGCGCGGCCUCUGGCUCACCAUCAUCCAGAAUAAAUACCUUCGCGGCCAGCCUCUAGCUUUCUGCCAGCGCUCUGGUGGAUCCCAGUUCUGGUAGGCAGUGAUUCAGCUCCUCCCCGUGCUUCGUAUUGGCACAUCCAUCUCAGUGGGUUCCGGGUCCUCGACCCUAUUUUGGUUCGACCGCUGGCUAGGGGACUCCCCCCUGGCCGCCCGCUUCCCGGGCCUAUUUGCCAUUGCGGCUGACCCCCAGAUCUCCGUCGAGACGGCCCUUAUUGACUUAGGGUGUCUUGCCUUCCGGCGCCCCUUUGGCCCCCAUGAGGUUGACGCGUGGGACGCCCUUCUCCAGGACAUCACUCUCCUGCUGAUGGAUGUAGAGGGCGCCCCUGACUCCAUGUCGUGGCACCUGGAGCCUUCCGGCCGCUUCUCCACGAAAUCUAUGUACGCGGCCAUCGCCCCUUCGCUGGUCCCUGAGCCCUUUAGCCUGAUCUGGGACAUUCGCCUCCCCCUAAAGAUCAGGAUAUUCCUUUGGCAGUGGAUCCGGGGACGCCUCCCCUCUGGGGUUAAAGUCCGCAAGCGUAAUGGCCCAGGGGACGGGAUGUGUCCCUUGUGCGUCAUGAUUGAGGACUCGAACCACAUCUUCUUCUCAUGCUCCACUGCCCAGUUCCCGUGGCCGUGCUUCCGUGAAACGGUCGGCGGACGAUGGUGUAAUACCAACUUCCCCGACUUACUUGCUGAGAUCCACGCCUCCUCUCCUCGCUACCGCCAUAUUAGAUGGUUGUGCAUUGGAAUCCUCGUGUGGACGCUUUGGAACAUUCGCAACAAGCUUGUCAUUCAGAAAGUGCCUCUGCGACGUGCGACUGACGCGAUCUUCAUAAUGUGGGGCUAUUUGCAGCUCUGGCGGCCGCUUAGCCGCCCCCAGGACUGGAUCGUCAUCAACACCCUCCUCGCCGACCUUCGAUCAAUGGCCUUCCGCAUGGCGCCCCCGCUUCCGCCACCUCCGCUGGAGCCUGAUUAG